AAAAUAGGAAUAAAAAAUCCGGAAGUAAAUCGAUAUACAUUGAGUGAAACCUUCCUUUUCUCCGGUUGAUGAUGUACGGAAUACUUGAUGGGGGUGGAAGGUAAACUGACAUUGAAAAUGAAUGUAGGUCACGGCCCCCAUUCG
ensembl:ncRNA W08F4.17 ncRNA